AAGAAUGUGGCAGAGUGGAAAUGCCAUUGGCUUGAAACCAAUUUACGGGGGUUCGACUCCUUCCUUUCUCG
rnacentral:tRNA from 1 species